rnacentral:tRNA from 1 species
GUAGAGUAAUGCCAUGGUAAGGCAUAAGUCAUCGGUUCAAAUCCGAUAAAGGGCU